rnacentral:rRNA from 1 species
CCUACGGGAGGCUGCAGUGAGGAAUAUUGGUCAAUGGACGCAAGCCUGAACCAGCCAAGUAGCGUGAAGGAUGACUGCCCUACGGGUUGUAAACUUCUUUUAUGCAGGGAUAAAAUGAGUCACGUGUGCCUUUUUGUAGGUACUGUAUGAAUAAGGAUCGGCUAACUCCGUGCCAGCAGCCGCGGUAAUACGGAGGGUCCGAGCGUUAUCCGGAUUUAUUGGGUUUAAAGGGAGCGUAGAUUGGUCGUUAAGUGAGUUGUGAAAUGUGGCGGCUCAACCGUAGAAGUGCAAUUGGUACUGGCCGGCUUGAGUACAGCGGAGGUAGGCGGAAUUCGUGGUGUAGCGGUGAAAUGCUUAGAUAUCACGAAGAACUCCGAUUGCGAAGGCAGCCUACUAAACCGCUACUGACAUUGAGGCUCGAAAGUGCGGGUAUCAAACAGGAUUAGAUACCCCAGUAGUC